CUUGUGCCAGCAGCCGCGGUAAUACGAAGGGGGCUAGCGUUGUUCGGAUUUACUGGGCGUAAAGCGCACGUAGGCGGACUAUUAAGUCAGGGGUGAAAUCCCGGGGCUCAACCCCGGAACUGCCUUUGAUACUGGUAGUCUCGAGUCCGGAAGAGGUGAGUGGAAUUCCGAGUGUAGAGGUGAAAUUCGUAGAUAUUCGGAGGAACACCAGUGGCGAAGGCGGCUCACUGGUCCGGUACUGACGCUGAGGUGCGAAAGCGUGGGGAGCAAACAGGAUUAGA
rnacentral:rRNA from 1 species